UAUAAUUAUUUAAGUUUUUAAUUAAUUAUAUUCAUAUAUAUACAUAUAGGGCAUACAUGAAAUGUAAGGUUAUGUGAAGCCUGUUUGGUUUGAUUUUUUUUUCUUUUUUUUUUUUUUUUUACUUACACGAAUAUGUAAAAGUAACAAAAACAAUAAAAAAAUAAAAAACAAAAUAUUUAAAAUAAUUUUUCAAAAUGUAAUGUAUUAGUGAAAUGAAACUAAUUAAGAAGAGUAAAUAAUAAAACAUGUUCCAUUUAUACAUAUAUAAACAUACAUAUAUACACGUUAGUUACUGGUAUAUUGAAAAAUUUCCCUCGUAAUGAGCAAAUAUACAUAUUUAACUUAGGUAUACAUAUAUAUUAUUAUAUUCAUAAUAUAUAUAUUAUAAGUUUUUUAAAAAAAAAACAAAAAAAAAAAUAUAUAUAUAUAUAUAUAUAUAUAUAUUCCCAUUUUAUAUUGAGUAUAAAACUUUUAAAUGAGACCUUUAUAGUAAGUUUAUUUAACCCAUUCAAAUAUUAUUAUUUUUUCAAGUAAGAAAAGAAGAAGUUGCAUCUAAAUGGCAGGUGGGGGAGCGUUAAAUAAUUUAUUUCCUGGUUAUAAGGAUAAAAUAUGGAUGAAGCUUCCUUACCAAGUCCGAGUUUAUUUAAUAAAAGCCUGGAACAAAGAGUUUGAGCACAAUGUAUAUAAAGCGAAGAUAAAAAAUGAUAAUAUAAAAAAUUUGAACUAUUAUAUAUUAGAUAGAUUUAAACCAAGUGAUAAAUACAAAAAUAGUCACACAGAUUAUAAAAGACAAAUAUGUAGAGGGACGUUAGAAGAAGGAUGUGAUUUUUAUUUACCAGAUAAAACAAAACAAGAUAGAUUAAAAAAUCAUUUAGAACCAUAUACAAAAGAAGAAUACGAAGAGAGAAAAAAAUAUAAAUAUUAUGAUUUAAAAUAUUAUAUAUUAUUUGCUUUGGGUUUUUCAAUAAUACAUAAUAGUAUGCAAUCAAGACCUGUUGCAUGGUGUAUGGAUUAUGAACCUCCACAUACACCGCAUUAUCCAUUUUGGUUUAAAUCAGUUUUCCAUUCGCAUGAUAUACCAAGUGUAAGAAGAGGUUUUGAAGUAUAUAGACAAAUAUGUGCUACAUGUCAUUCAUUAGAACAAUUACAGUUUCGUAGUUUAGUAAAUGAAGUAUAUCCAGAACAACGUAUGAAAGAUAUAGCAGCGUCGUAUGACAUAGAAGAUGGUCCAGAUGAUAAAGGU
rnacentral:lncRNA from 1 species